rnacentral:lncRNA from 1 species
UGUCUUUUUCUUCAGAAAGUAGCUUUGAUUCAUGCAUGGUUAGGUACUUGUAGAGUUUUUGUUUUUAUUUUUAAAAGGGUUUCCUUGUUCCAAAAAAGGAAAGAUAAUAAGGAUUCUUCAGGGAAGGCAUCAGAUGGUAUGCGUUGCUCAGAAAGUCAGGUUUCCUUCUUAGGCAACAUUGCAUGCAAGCCGUCUAGCUAAAAGCUAUCUGAAAUUUUUACUUUACUAAUAAAUGCCAGAGUUUGGCAUCCCCCCAACUUUUAUUAUCCCCCCAACUUUUAUUCCAUCUUUUCAAGUCACUAAAAAAUAAAGCUCCACAGACUCCCUACCCUCCUCCCUGUUGUAGAAAUUUUUUGUUUUUUGUCUUUUUACAUGUAGAGAAUAGAAGUGAUAAGUAAUGAACUCUCUAUUUAUUACUUUAUACUUUUACAAGCGUGCUUGAGUUUGUACAAAAGUAAAUUGUUAGGUUUUGAGUUUGACUCUUCCUAAAAUUCCUCAGGUUUACGGGUAAAAUCCAACCAACAAUAGAAUACUUAAAUUGAACACUAAUUUUAUGACAGUUAACAGUGACUUUUAAGCUUAAUCAUAUGGGGAAAAAAGACACUUGAUUCCCAAUAUGGGCAGAUCAAUUAGAAAGAUAAAUAAAGCCAAAGAACUCAAUUUAUGCUAAUAAGCAUCUAGCAAUAUGAACAAAAUAACACUAAAACACUAGUGGAGCCUGAUAAAAAUUUCGUUUGAAAAUACAAAACAAAAC